rnacentral:rRNA from 1 species
AUUGAACGCUGGCGGCAGGCCUAACACAUGCAAGUCGAGCGGAUGAAGAGAGCUUGCUCUCUGAUUUAGCGGCGGACGGGGGAGUAAUGCCUAGGAAUCUGCAUGGUAGUGGGGGAUAACGUCCGGAACCGGGCGCUAAUACCGCAUACGUCCUACGGGAGAAAGCAGGGGACCUCCGGGCCUUGCGCUAUCAGAUGAGCCUAGGUCGCAUUAGCUAGUUGGGGAGGUAAUGGCUCACCAAGGCCACGAUCCGUAACUGGUCUGAGAGGAUGAUCAGUCACACUGGAGCUGAGACACGGACCAGACUCCUACGGGAGGCAGCAGUGGGGAAUAUUGGACAAUGGGCGAAAGCCUGAUUCAGCCAUGCCGCGUGUGUGAAGAAGGUCUUCGGAUUGUAAAGCACUUUAAGUUGGGAGGAAGGGCAGUAAGUUAAUACCUUGCUGUUUUGACGUUACCGACAGAAUAAGCACCGGCUAACUUCGUGCCAGCAGCCGCGGUAACAC